GAGGGUAGAGCUCAGUGGUAGAGUGCGUGCUUAGCAAGCACGAGGUCCUGGGUUCAAUCCCCAGUGCCCUCA
rnacentral:tRNA from 1 species